rnacentral:lncRNA from 1 species
CUGGAGAAGCACGAUUUAAAUUGGGUACUGCUCUCUGGAACUUGCCCCUCAUUUCGAUUCAACUCAAAGGCUCAAGAUCAAAAUGCUUGCUUGAGUGGUCACAAGUGAGGGAAACAGUGAGAGACUACGCCCAUGUACGUAUGUGAAAGACCACAAAAGACUGAGAUAAGCAUGGCAUCUGACCACUGAAGAAGGAAGCUGGACGAGAAUGAGGGAAAAUGGACAACACUUGGGAGGAAAGGAAGCAAGUGGGAAGGACAAAGUUAAACAGGUAGUGAGAGAAGAGGCUAUAGGAAUGAGGAGGAACUAGGAGGAAAGAAGUAUUUUUUCCCUUCCACCUUUUUUCUCUCUCUACUCUUUUCCUUCAUGAUCUCAGUCACUAUUAGGCCUUCAAUACUCCUUUCUGUUUGCAUGAUUGCCAAAUAUCUCCAUUCUUGCCUUUUCUCCAACUACUGAGCUGGCCACAUCCAUCUACAUUUCCUAUUAACACUGUAAAUCCAACAGGUCCAACCUGAAUUCAGCAUCUCCUUCAUCUCAAGCCUGCUGCUACUUUUAUAUGCACUUCUCUUAUACUUAUCAAACAUCCAUCUAAACCAUUCUCUCUCCCCAUAUUCUUUCAAUCGUUCCUUCAUCCAACAAAUAUUUAUUGUGCAUCUAUUAUGUCCGAUACAUUCAGCCACAGCCCUAGAUAUAUCCAUUCACUCAUGAAGUCGGGUCAUUUCUAUCUUGGAAAUCUCUUCUCUCACUACCUCAUGAGCUGCCUAACUCAACUAAAUUUGUCUCUAAGACGUCCUGAGAAACCCUCUUGCUUGAAAAAUAAUAUAUAUUAACUAGUUUUGCAUGCUAUUCAUUCUAUAGUGAUCAUCUAGCACUUGGCACUGUACCUCGGGCACAGAAGGGGUUCCCAAUGGAGGUUUAGGGACUGUAAACCAGCUAGAAAGGGAACAGGGGCAGCAGAAGCUAGGAAACGUCUUGAACGAGUAUUUGCAUAGGAAGCAUGGUAAACUGUAUGAUCUAUACACAUAACAUCAGCUUGAUAAUCCUUGUGUUUCCGGGGGAUGGCUCUGGGAGGCUGGGGAGAUCGUUGGAAGCCUUCUGAGAGAAAGCUCCACCUCCCACCGCUUGAGUAGGUCCUCAACAACCACCUGAUGAUGUAUCACCUUCUGAGGGGACCAUGGAUAUUGUGUUCGCCGUUGUAUCCCCGGCCCCUACAACAUCUGGCCCAUAGUAGGGAUUCAAUAAACAUCGAUGCAGGAUUCUCGAAAGGCAGAUAAUUCACCACCUCAUGAACGACAAAGACGAAGGGGUUCUGAGGGAAACAGAAAUAGCGCGCGAGGUUUCCUUCCCUAUUCCUUCAGGGCUUGGUACAGGGUAAGUGCUGAGGAAAUAAAUCGCCCUCCUGUACAACUCCAAAAUCGGGCCCCUCGCUCUGCAGUCAGGCCCGGAAGGAGGCAAGGCGGGAAGUGGCUGCAGCUGUGAGGCGCCAGGGGCGGGAAGCGGGCGGCGGGCCCAGCCGAGGGUC